rnacentral:rRNA from 1 species
UACGUAGGGAGCAAGCGUUGUCCGGAAUCAUUGGGCGUAAAGAGCGCGUAGGCGGUCCGGUAAGUCGGUUGUGAAAACUGGGGGCUCAACCCUCAGAGGCCGACCGAUACUGCCGGGCUAGAGUCCGGAAGAGGCGAGUGGAAUUCCUGGUGUAGCGGUGAAAUGCGCAGAUAUCAGGAGGAACACCAAUGGCGAAGGCAGCUCGCUGGGACGGUACUGACGCUGAGGCGCGAAAGCGUGGGGAGCGAACAGG